CCAAUAGCGUAUAUUAAAGUUGCUGCAGUUAAAAAGCUCGUAGUUGAAUUUCGGGACUAAUAUGUCGGUCGUGCCUCGGUACGUACUGGUUUAUUGGUUUCUCCUUUCUGAAGAACCAUGAUGUCAUUUAUUUGGUGUCGUGGGGAAUCAGGACUGUUACUUUGAAAAAAUUAGAGUGUUUAAAGCAGGCUCACGCUUGAAUACAUUAGCAUGGAAUAAUGAAAUAGGACGAUUGAUUCUAUUUUGUUGGUUUCUAGGAUCGACGUAAUGAUUAAUAGGGAUAGUUGGGUGCAUUAGUAUUCAAUUGUCAGAGGUGAAAUUCUUGGAUUUAUUGAAGACUAACUACUGCGAAAGCAUUUGCCAAGGAUGUUUUCAUUAAUCAAGAACGAAAGUUAGGGGAUCGAAGACGAUCAGAUACCGUCGUAGUCUUAACCAUAAACUAUGCCGACUAGGGAUCGGAUGAUGUUAAUUUUUUAAUGACUCAUUCGGCGCCUUACG
rnacentral:rRNA from 1 species